GGGCACGUGGCGGAAUUGGUAUACGCGUACGCUUCAGGAGCGUAUGGGGAAACCCUUGAGAGUUCAAAUCUCUCCGUGCCCA
rnacentral:tRNA from 1 species